rnacentral:rRNA from 1 species
UACAGAGGGUGCUAGCGUUGUUCGGAAUCAUUGGGCGUAAAGGGUCCGUAGGCGGUUUAGUAAGUCAGUGGUGAAAGCCCAUCGCUCAACGGUGGAACGGCCAUUGAUACUGCUGAACUUGAAUUACUAGGAAGUAACUAGAAUAUGUAGUGUAGCGGUGAAAUGCUUAGAGAUUACAUGGAAUACCAAUUGCGAAGGCAGGUUACUACUAGUGGAUUGACGCUGAUGGACGAAAGCGUGGGGAACGAACAGG